GCCGGUGUAGCUUUAAUGGCAGAGCAGCCCCUUCGUAAGGGGAAGGUUGGGGGUUCAACUCCUCUCACCGGCU
rnacentral:tRNA from 1 species